GAGUUUGAUCCUGGCUCAGGAUAAACGCUGGCGGCGUGCCUAACACAUGCAAGUCGGACGUCCUGGCUCUUCGGAGCGAGGGAGUGGCGGACGGGUGAGUAGCACGUGGGUGACCUAGCUUGGGGUGAGGAAUACCGGCGCGAAAGUGCCGACAAUGCCGCAUCGGCUUGUGCAAGCAAGCAAAGCUCCUUUCGGGGAGCGCCGCAAGAUGGGCCCGCGGCCGAUUAGCUGGUUGGUGGGGUAAUGGCCUACCAAGGCGACGAUCGGUAGCUGGUCUGAGAGGACGAUCAGCCACACUGGGAUUGAGAACGGCCCAGACUCCUACGGGGGGCAGCAGUGAGGAAUUUUCGGCAAUGGGGGCAACCCUGACCGAGCAACGCCGCGUGCAGGAAGACGGCCUUCGGGUUGUAAACUGCUUUUCGCUGGGACGAGCAAGGACGGUACCAGCGGAAGAAGCCCCGGCUAACUACGUGCCAGCAGCCGCGGUAAUACGUAGGGGGCCAGCGUUGUCCGGAGUUACUGGGCGUAAAGCGCACGCAGGCGGUCCGCCCAGUUCUGGCUGACAGUGCUCGGCUUAACUGAGCAAGGAGUCAGAAAACUAGCGGACUGGAGGGCCUCAGAGGGACACAGAACUCCGGGUGGAGCGGUGAAAUGCGUAGAGAUCCGGAAGAAUACCGAAGGUGAAGACCGUGUCCUGGGAGGUACCUGACGCUCAGGUGCGAAAGCGAGGGGAGCGAACGGGAUUAGAUACCCCGGUAGUCCUCGCCGUAAACGAUGACCACUAGGCGUGGGAGGUAUCGACCCCUUCUGUGCCGGCGUUAGCACACUAAGUGGUCCGCCUGGGGAGUACGGUCGCAAGAUUAAAACUCAAAGGAAUUGACGGGGACCCGCACAAGCAGCGGAGCGUGUGGUUUAAUUCGAUGCGACGCGCAGAACCUUACCAGGGUUGGACAUGCUCUCGCACCGCCUGGAGACAGGCGUGCCCGCAAGGGACGGGAGCACAGGUGCUGCAUGGCUGUCGUCAGCUCGUGCCGUGAGGUGUUGGGUUAAGUCCCGCAACGAGCGCAACCCCUGUCGUCGGUUGCUUUUUCCGACGAGACUGCCACUCUCAAAGUGGAGGAAGGCGGGGAUGACGUCAAGUCAGCACGGCCCUUACAUCCUGGGCUACACACACGCUACAAUGGCCGCGACAACGAGUCGCCAACCCGUGAGGGGGAGCUAAUCUUGCAAAACGCGGUCUCAGUUCGGAUCGCAGGCUGCAACCCGCCUGCGUGAAGUCGGAGUUGCUAGUAACCGUGGGUCAGCACACCACGGUGAAUACGUUCCCGGGUCUUGUACACACCGCCCGUCACACCACGAAAGUCGGCAACCCCUGAAGCCGCUGGGCUAACCCACUAGGGAGGCAGGCGUCGAGGGUGGGGUCGGUGAUUGGGGUGAAGUCGUAACAAGGUAGC
rnacentral:rRNA from 1 species